rnacentral:rRNA from 1 species
CACGUAGUUAGCCGGGGCUUCUUGGUCGGGUACCGUCCGCGGCUCUCGCGAACCGUGUUUCUUCCCCGCUGACAGAGCUUUACGCGCCGAAACGCUUCUUCACUCACGCGGCGUCGCUGCAUCAGGGUUUCCCCCAUUGUGCAAUAUUCCCCACCGCUGCCUCCCGUAGGAGUUUGGGCCGUGUCUCAGUCCCAAUGUGGCCGUCCGCCCUCUCAGGCCGGCUACUGAUCGUCGCCUUGGUGGGCCCGUUACCCCGCCAACCAGCUAAUCAGACGCGGGUCCAUCCCGUACCACCGGAGUUUUCAAGAAAGAAACAUGCGUCCCCUUCUGUUAUGCGGUAUUAGCACCUGUUCCAGGUGUAUCCCCGGUACGGGCAGGUUCCCACGCGUUACUCACCCGUCCGCCACUAAGGCCCGCGCCCUUCCGGGUCCGGUAAACCACUCCCCUUCCGCCGCUCGGCCCCCGUUCGACUUGCCAUGUGUUAGGCACGCCGCCAGCGUCAUCCUGACGCAGGAUCAAACUCGU